CAGGAUGGGACAACAGACGGAAACGACUGCUAAUACCGAAUAAGUUCCAGAGCCGCAUGGCCCAUGGAAGAAAAGGUGGCCUCUACCUGUAAGCUAUCGCCUGAAGAGGGGUUUGCGUCUGAUUAGCUGGUUGGAGGGGUAACGGCCCACCAAGGCGACGAUCAGUAGCCGGUCUGAGAGGAUGAACGGCCACACUGGAACUGAGACACGGUCCAGACUCCUACGGGAGGCAGCAUG
rnacentral:rRNA from 1 species